UACGAAGGGGGCUAGCGUUAUCCGGAAUCAUUGGGCGUAAAGCGCGUGUAGGCGGUUCCGUAAGUCCGCUCUGAAAGCCCAGGGCUCAACCCUGGGAGGCGGGUGGAUACUACGGAACUGGAGUACGGAAGAGGAGAUUGGAAUUCCUGGUGUAGCGGUGAAAUGCGCAGAUAUCAGGAGGAACACCAACAGCGAAGGCGGCUCACUGGCCCGAUACUGACGCUGAUGCACGAAAGCGUGGGGAGCAAACAGG
rnacentral:rRNA from 1 species